GAUGAACGCUGGCGGCGUGCUUAACACAUGCAAGUCGAACGAAGACAUCUGAGUGCUUGCACUUGGAUGGACUGAGUGGCGGACGGGUGAGUAACGCGUGGGUAACCUGCCUUAUACAGGGGGAUAACAGUUGGAAACGACUGCUAAUACCGCAUAAGCGCACGGUAUCGCAUGAUACAGUGUGAAAAACUCCGGUGGUAUAAGAUGGACCCGCGUCUGAUUAGCUUGUUGGUGAGGUAACGGCCCACCAAGGCGACGAUCAGUAGCCGGCCUGAGAGGGUGAACGGCCACAUUGGGACUGAGACACGGCCCAAACUCCUACGGGAGGCAGCAGUGGGGAAUAUUGCACAAUGGGGGAAACCCUGAUGCAGCGACGCCGCGUGAGUGAUGAAGUAUUUCGGUAUGUAAAACUCUAUCAGCAGGGAAGAUAAAUGACGGUACCUGACUAAGAAGCACCGGCUAAAUACGUGCCAGCAGCCGACGG
rnacentral:rRNA from 1 species